CAGUGUAGUGGACACCACCAAAAAAAGGCAGCAGUGAUCAUUCGGCCCUAGCCGCCCACGAACUCUCCUGUCCCCAUUCCCACUACCAAAAGUAAACAUUCCUUUCCCUUUAGGCCAAACCAAUACCCCUUUCCCAGAUAUCACCACCUAUACUUCCCUUCCCCAUCUUGCAAAUUAAAGUAGAAAAGAAGAUGCCACGUUAUUUAGACUUUUGAUGGCAACCAAAGCUAAAUUGCUAAAUUUAAAAACAGGACCAUCUGAGAAGCCGGCAUACAACAACAGUGAAGCUAGCUAUCCAAUAAUCGAGCGCUUCAAGGGAAAGAGCAUCUCCUUGUUGUACCAUCACUUCAUUGUUUUGUUCUUGCGCAGAAGCUGAAAUUGCAUUAGUGACCUCGUUAUUGCUUGAGCCUGCUACAGUCUUAAGUUUUUUUUUCUGGAGGGCCAUCAAUUGCUGCACGGGUCUUAAGUUUUUUUUCUGGAGGACCAUCAAUUGCUGCACGGGCUGCAUCUUGAACUUCUUCUGGAACAUGGUUACAAAUCUUAACACCACGGCCUGUCACUUUAGUAUGAACACCAUAAGGUAUGGAUUAUAAGAACUAAGAAAGAUAUUGAUUUAUUUAUAGAAACUACUGAUGAUCCUAACUCCAAAGUUUCUAAAUAAAAUUUCUACAACCUGUCCUUUACUUCAAAAGAUUCAAGCAGUAGUUGCAGGUGAAAAAGAGAAACACCAACAAGACGAAGAAGAUGAAGUAUAAUUACUUUACUGGAUUCAAGAUGUCCUGCAAGAGCUGCUUUGCUUAAGCAGUAUUCAGAAAAAAAGAGCAGAAGCACAGGCACGAGAAUAGUUUAUGGUUUUAAAAAAUAAUUUACUUGGAACUGAGAAUGGUACAAUGAGAUGAGAUGUGGAAGAGAUUGUUACAGUAAUAGCACAGAGAGAAGAGCGGUUCAAGAAAAAACAAUAAUGGAGGUGAAUCAAAAUCUUUUUGUUUUUUUGUUCUUUGUGUUUUCAGUAACAGAGCUUUGAAUCAAGUGGUGACAGACCAAGUUCAAUAACUUUAUUUAAAAGCUUAGCAAAUUGAUCUGGCUAGCCAAGGCCAGGUCAUGGAGCACACGGAUGGUGCUGAGAGGCAGAGCCGGCAUUCUUUACGCGAACAAGGAAAGUUUGGCUGAUGUUUUUUUGCUUCACAUAGUUUUGAGAUUUCUCUGUCCUCCUCUCCAACUUGCAGAAAACAUUAACUCUGCUGCUAGAAGAUCAUUAACAAUGACCAUUGACUUUUAUUUCGCUCAUUAAUGAGAGGAUUUCUUAUGAUAGCAUUCAUUAAUGACCAUUAUGAACAGUCCUUAAAUACGGGCCACUUUGUCCAAAAGGCAUGGUAGUACAAUCCUUAAUGAACAGUCCUUAAAUAUGGGCCACUUUGUCCAAAAGCAUGGUAGUACAAUCCUUAAAGAGACCUCUUUAGGGUUUUUAUUUCAGUCCCAACAAGGAUGGUAGGAGGUCAGAUCUUCUCUUCAAGGAAGAGAGAUUCGGGAAUUGAUUCAUUAAAUAAUAACUUCUCAAUUAAUGGAUCACAUCCCAACUUCACAAUGCCAAGACGCCAACAAGCAUGAAAACAGAGAAGAAAACAUGGGAGCCUCAGGACACAUGAUUUCUCAAUAAUUUGCUUGUCCCUCAGCAACUUGCAGCUGAUUUCUCUAUAUCCUCGAGAUAACAAAUUAUUGUGUUUAGUUUUAUCAUAUAUGAUACUAUAUUUUUUUUAUUGA